CUACGGGUUGCUGCAGUUGCGAAUCAUUUACAAUGCACGAAAGUGUGAUAAUGCGAACCAAAGUGCGUUUCUUUUUGAAACGCUUUUGCUUACCGUAAAAAUGUAGGCGAAUAAGGACUGGGAAAGGCCGGUGCCAGCCGCCGCGGUAAUACCGGCAGUUCUAGUUGCAUCCAACAUUAUUGGGUCUAAAACAUCCGUAGCUUGUUAUCUAAGUCUCUUGUGAAAUCUCACGUCUCAAGCGUGAGGCUUGCGGGAGAUACUGGAUAGCUAGAGAUCGGUAGACGUAAAGAGUACGCUGGAGGUAGUGGUAAAAUACGUUAAUCUUCGGUGGACUAACAAUUAGCGAAGGCACUUUACGAGGACGAAUCUGACAGUGAGGGAUGAAGGCCAGGGGCGCAAAACGGAUUAGAUACCCCAGUAGUC
rnacentral:rRNA from 1 species